GAUGAAGAACGCAGCGAAAUGCGACAAGUAAUGUGAAUUGCAGAAUUCAGUGAAUCAUCGAAUCUUUGAACGCACAUUGCGCCCGUCAGUAUUCUGGCGGGCAUGCCUGUUCGAGCGUCAUUACGCCCCUCAAGUCCCCUGUGGACUUGGUGUUGGGGAUCGGCGAGGCUGGUUUUCCAGCACAGCCGUCCCUUAAAUUAAUUGGCGGUCUCGCCGUGGCCCUCCUCUGCGCAGUAGUAAAACACUCGCAACAGGAGCCCGGCGCGGUCCACUGCCGUAAAACCCCCCAACUUUUUAUAGUUGACCUCGAAUCAGGUAGGACUACCCGCUGAACUUAAGCAUAUCAAUAAGGGAGGA
rnacentral:misc_RNA from 1 species